AAAUAUUGUUAAGAUGAUUGGGUACUGCAGUGAGGGAAAAAAUAGAUUGCUUGUUUUAGAGUUCGUUCCCAACAAUACCUUGGCAUAUCAUUUACAUGUUGANNNNNNNNNNCUUUGGACUGGUCAACGAGAAUGAAUAUUGCCUUGCAAACUGCAAAUGGGUUGCUAUAUUUACAUGAAGGCUGUAAACCUUCAAUUAUACACCGAGAUAUAAAAGCCGAUAACAUUCUUCUUGAUAAUAAUUUUAAAGCGAAGGUAGCAGAUUUUUCACUUUCCAGUUUUUUGGAUACUCGUAACGUUCACCACAUUUCCAGUAUAUGUAGGGGAACCAACGUCUAUGCAGAUAAAGAAUUUGGUGAUGGUCAGAAAAUUACAGAUAAAUUAGAUGUUUAUUCUUACGGUGUUAUACUUUUAGAGUUGAUUACCGGAAGAAAACCUUUACAUGAAGGAAGCAACAUUACAAUUGUUCAAUGGGCUAAAAAUCGGAUUGGACAAGCAUUGAACAAUGAUGACUAUACCAGACUUGUUGAUUCCAGAUUGAAAGAGUAUAAGGAGAAUGAAAUGUUAAGAAUGAUUUAUUGCGCUGCUGCUUCAGUGUAUAAACCUUCAUUCUCACGACCAAAUAUGAACCAGAUAUUUAGAAUUCUUCAAGGAACUAUGCGUCCCGAGCAGAUAAUGAAACGGA
rnacentral:misc_RNA from 1 species